rnacentral:rRNA from 1 species
AAUUGACGGGGGCCCGCACAAGCGGAGGAACAUGUGGUUUAAUUCGAUGAUACGCGAGGAACCUUACCCGGGCUUAAAUUGCAGAUGAAUUACGGUGAAAGCCGUAAGCCGCAAGGCAUCUGUGAAGGUGCUGCAUGGUUGUCGUCAGCUCGUGCCGUGAGGUGUCGGCUUAAGUGCCAUAACGAGCGCAACCCUUGUUGUCAGUUACUAACAGGUUUUGCUGAGGACUCUGACAAGACUGCCAUCGUAAGAUGUGAGGAAGGUGGGGAUGACGUCAAAUCAGCACGGCCCUUACGUCCGGGGCUACACACGUGUUACAAUGGGGGGUACAGAGGGCCGCUACCACGCGAGUGGAUGCCAAUCCCCAAAACCUCUCUCAGUUCGGACUGGAGUCUGCAACCCGACUCCACGAAGCUGGAUUCGCUAGUAAUCGCGCAUCAGCCACGGCGCGGUGAAUACGUUCCCGGGCCUUGUACACACCGCCCGUCAAGCCAUGGGAGCCGGGGGUACCUGAAGUGCGUAACCGCGAGGAGCGCCCUAGGGUAAAACUGGUGACUGGGGCUAAGUCGUAACAAGGUAGCCGUACCGGAAGGUGCGGCUGGAACACCUCCUUUCUGGAG